rnacentral:lncRNA from 1 species
ACCACAACAAAUAUUACAUAGACUAGCUGUUACAUAUAUGAUAUCUGCUAUAAGUAGUAUUCCUGUAAAGUUUAAUAUAAUUUACAAUAUCUAGUACUAGCUGUACUGUCACAUACUGUUCAAAAUCGAGAAGCGGAGAGGAUGUAUAAUAUUCUGUGGGUUCAGUUUCCUUGUUUCAUAUUUGCCACGGCCCACGAUGACUGAAUUUUUUGGUUUCAAAAACCGUCGAACUUUAACUCAACGUAACGUGAUUGUGGGCAAAAUGCGAGCCAAAGUUUUAUUUAUAUGUAGAAAAGUAUUUGAUUUUGCAAAACCAGCUGCAUAUCACUCAACGAUAGCCAAACUGUACGCCAAAAAUUUUGGCUGCGAAGUAUUUCUGAUAUAGUUUUG